rnacentral:lncRNA from 1 species
UUUUACUUAAUGUAAGAAGAAAAAAUACAAAAUAUUAUUCAAUAUUGUGUAAUACAAUCUCGGUUACUUUACAUCAAUAAAAAUGUGCAGUUGGUAGCCAAACCUUCAUACAAAGAUAACUAUUUUAGUUUUAGUGGGUAACCAAAUAAUUAUAAAAUUUUUUUUAAAACAAUUACAAAGUGUAGGAUGAAUGGAAUGAGAGAAUAGGAGGAGAAUCCUUCAAAUCCUUCACCGUCGCAGAAUUUAUUUUCUUUUCACGUUACUGUUAUUGUAUUAUGCCCCUGCGUUUUCUUCCCCUUUCACACCACUCGAUGCUGAACAAUCCAUCUUUCUUGUUUCCUUGUGCUGGAUUUCAGUUGGUACUAGUAGCCUUCGCAGGUAGCGGGUCAGGUAAUGGCCUUUUGCAAAAAUUCAAUGGGCGAAUUAAUAGGAGGAGGAUGAAGGGGCCACAGAGGAGGAGGAUGAAGGGAAGGAGAGAGGAUGUGACAUAAGAGGAAGAGGAAGAGGAAGAGGAAGAUGAAGGGGAGGAGAGAGGAGGCGGCAGAGGAAGAAGAUGAAGGGGCGGCAAAGGAGGAGAAUGAAGGAGAGGAGAGAGGAUGCGGAUGAGAAUGACG